AGUGAACGCUGGCGGCAGGCCUAACACAUGCAAGUCGAACGGCAGCACAGGAGAGCUUGCUCUCCGGGUGGCGAGUGGCGGACGGGUGAGGAAUACAUCGGAAUCUGCCUAUUUGUGGGG
rnacentral:rRNA from 1 species